AUACCGCAAGGAGAAAACCCAUGAAGAAGCUGCUUACCAUCGCCAUUGUCGCCGCCGCCGCGCUCGCCGUGCCGCUCGCCAUGGCCCAGGGUGCAGGCCAGGCCGCGCCGCCGCAGGGUGACCAGGCCAACCCCGCACAGGCCGAAGCCGAUGCCAAGGCCAAGCGCCGCGCCCAGGCCACGGCUGAAAUGAAGGCCAAGGGCCAGCAGGUGCCUCAGGGUGAAGAGGAAGAGGAAGAGGCGCGCAAGAAGCGCUGAAGCGCGCUGCUGCCGCACCGAGGCCCCGGUUCUGCCGGGGCCUUUCUUUUGCCCGCCCGUCAC
rnacentral:sRNA from 1 species